rnacentral:lncRNA from 1 species
GUUCAGGGGGAUAACGAAAGUUAUCCCCGCUAUUCCGCCAAACAGGAUCAUUUUUUAUCAGAAUAUUUUAUUCCGGUCAAAGCUUGCUAUUUCCGAUUAUCCCGGAAUAUCAAGCUUUUUACUAUUCGACCAUUUUGGUGGAAUAGUGCUAUUCCAAUGCUUAAUUUUAAACUUAAUUAAAAUUAUAAAAUAAAUUAAAACUCAAUUAUAUAAAUAUAAUAUAUUAUAUAUUAUAAUACAUUAUUUUUAUUAUAAAAUUAUUAAUUGUACUAUAUUAAUACAUAUUAUUUAUAUUUAAAUAUUGUAAUAAAUUUUAUAAUAAAUUAUAUUUAAAUAUUAUAAUAAAUUAAAAUUUAAAAUUUAAAUAAAUUUAAAAUUUAAUUUUGAUAUUUUAAAUUUUUGAAAUUUUAAAUUUGAUGUUUUAUUUUUUAAAAAUUUAAAUUUGAUCUUAAAUUUAAAGUUUGAAAUUUAAAAUUUAAAAUUUUGAAUUUAAAAUUUGAGAUUUUAAAUUUUAAAUUUUGAAAUUUAAAAGUUAAAAUUUUAAAUUUAAAAUAAAAUUUAAAAGUUAAAAUUUUAAAUUUUGAAAUUUAAAAGUUAAAAUUUUAAAUUUUAAAAUAUAAAUACAAAAUAUAAAAAUUCAAAUUCCAAUAUAAAAAAAGGAUAAUAUUAUUAUUUUUAUUUAUAACUACCCACUUUAAUUCUUGUUCCAUCUUAUCUAACCAAACGCUAUUUUUUUUAUUUCCAGCAAUAACCCAAUUUUCAUCCAAACGUAAAAUUGAUCUAAUCCCCGCUUAUACCUCAAUUUAUACAUAUCCCUGGAAUACCCACUUUUUGCUUAUCCCCGAACCAAACGAUACCUAAUAAUUUAAAUAAUAUUUAAACAAUUAAUUUUACAAUCUCUAAUAA